GACGAACGCUGGCGGCGUGCUUAACACAUGCAAGUCGAACGGAAAGGCCCUGCUUUUGUGUGGUGCUCGAGUGGCGAACGGGUGAGUAACACGUGAGUAACCUGCCCUUGACUUUGGGAUAACUUCAGGAAACUGGGGCUAAUACCGGAUAGGAGCUCCUGCUGCAUGGUGGGGGUUGGAAAGUUUCGGCGGUAGGGGCUGGACUCGCGGGUUAUCAGCUUGUUGGUGGGGUAGUGGCUUACCAAGGCUUUGACGGGUAGCCGGCCUGAGAGGGUGACCGGGCACCUUGGGACUGAGAUACGGACCAGACUCCUACGGGAGGCAGCAGUGGGGAAUAUUGCACAAUGGGCGGAAGCCUGAUGCAGAAACGCCGCGUGCGGGAUGACGGCCUUCGGGUUGUAAACCGCUUUCGCCUGUGACGAAGCGUGAGUGACGGUAAUGGGUAAAGAAGCACCGGCUAACUACGUG
rnacentral:rRNA from 1 species